AGCACCUGUACGAGCAAAGGGUUGCCAGUUUUGGUAGGAAGUAUUCCUGGAGGUCUCAUCAUAUAACAUAAUAUUUAAUUAAAGAUUAAUCUUUAAUUCCUG